rnacentral:sRNA from 1 species
GGAGGCUGGGUUGAGAGGUCGCCGGUCCGACUGUCCUCGGCGGUUGGUCAGUGUGAAUUUGUGACAGCUGCAGUUGCUCCCCGCCCCCGAGCAGCCGAGUUUUGGGUUCUUAUAAGUAAAGCUGCUAGGAGUACAUGUCUACAAGAUUCAAGAAGCUAGUUCCCAGCCUUCACUUUUUUGGUUGUACAAUAUACUAGCUCUCUAGGUUUGGUACAUGACGAUGCCUUUAGAUCAUCUCCAAAAAAGUAACAUCAUAAUUGUAUUGUGACAUCCAUAUGUAUUGGAUUUUUAAAGAUUGUUUCCAAAGAUUCAGCUGUACAGAGUGUGUGUGCCUAAUACUUUUCUAACUUGGAAAUAAUUCAGUGGUGGCUAAAGCUGGCUUGUACUGCCUGCAAAAGCUGAUUGGUAAAUUUUCAAGAAUUUGUAAGCCAACUGUUAAACACAGCCAUUAUUUUAAAAAUUAUGUAGAGUUAUUAUUAAAUACAUAUAUUAAAAAUAAAAGUAAUACCUCCUCAA